GGAAGGGUGGCAGAGCGGCCGAAUGCACUAGUCUUGAAAACUAGCAAGUUAAUAGCUUCGCGGGUUCAAAUCCCGCCCCUUCCGCCA
rnacentral:tRNA from 1 species